rnacentral:lncRNA from 10 species
GGUGUGUUUUUUUUGAGAUAGAGUCUGGCUCUGUCACCCAAGCUGGAGUGCAGUGGCGCGAUCUUGGCUAACUGCAAGCUCCGCCUCCUGGGUUCCUGCCAUUCUCCUGCCUCAGCCUCCCGAGUACCUGGGACUACAGGCGUCCGCCAUCACACCCAGCUAAUUUUUGUAUUUUUUAGUAGUGAUCCACCUGCCUCGGCCUCCCAAAGUGCUGGGAUUACAGGCGUGAGCCACCGCGUCCAGCCAAUUGGUGGGUUCCUGGUCUCACUGACUUCAAGAAUGAAGCCACGGACCCUCGCAGUGAGUGUUACAGUUCUUAAAGAUGGUGUGUUCAGAAUUUGUUCCUUCUGAUGUUCGGACGUGUAUGGAGUUUCUUCAUUCUGGUGGGUUCGUGGUCUCUCUGGCUUCAGGAAUGAAGCUGUAGAACUCUGCGAAAUAAGCUUCAAAUGAAAUAGGCUUUCGAUGUGACAGUGUUUACAGGAAACAUUAUGCUGUUACGAACUUCCCUUAGAAUCAACCCAUUUGUGAAACACCACAUUAAUAAGAGCAGUAUCUUUGGAGAUUGGAGAGUCCACCAAGGAUGCCCACUGGCUCCCUACAAAGUUUUUUAUGUGAGGACUCGGUCUCAGAUAUGGCUACUGGGAUUCUGUUCAAACUGAGUGAAGACAUCAUCAUCUUUCUUUGAGAUCUUCCUUGCUUUCUGGCCAAAGAAGUUAUUCCCUGACCCGACUUUCCAAAGAGUACUAGUUCCUUUUAGCAGUGAUUAGAAACCUGAUCUGAGUACUACUGUGUGUGCUUGUGACUAGUGUGGUUUUAUUGUUUCUAUGUCCUUUCAGCGAGCAGAUCUACAAUGAGGGAUACAUCUAAACAAAACUCCAUAUUAAUAAGUCCAGUUGAAAUCUAACAACAUAGGGUUCUUUCGCAUUCUCUUGCAUUCCAUAUUUGUAUAUUCGUUCACCCAUGGUGGCAACCCUGGCUAUUAGAAAUAUAAUUGUAUUUAUUUUGCUGUAUCCUACAAUAAAACAAAAAAAUUAAGAAUUACUAUACCAACAUCAUGAUAAAAAUACACAUACUAAGUAAAUCUGUUAUGUAAACUACAAGUGUGUUUGUAGCAUUUUUGUUUUUACACUAUAGCCUACUAAGUGUGCAAUUAGACUUCUUGCUCACUGGUUUCUGUUUACUUUUAAUUUUAGUAUUUACUCUUGUUUCCC